rnacentral:rRNA from 1 species
GGUUCGAUUCUGGCUCAGAUUGAACGCUGGUGGGAUGCUUUACACAUGCAAGUCGAACGGCAGCACGGACUUCGGUCUGGUGGCGAGUGGCGAACGGGUGAGUAAUGUAUCGGAACGUGCCUAUAGCGGGGGAUAACUACGCGAAAGUUGUGGAAGCAUUACCGCAUACGUCUCUUCGGGGGAAAGCGGGGACCUUCGGGCCUCGCACUAUUAGGAGCGGCCGAUAUCGGAUUAGCUAGUUGGUGGGGUAACGGCUCACCAAGGCGACGAUCCGUAGCUGGUUUGAGAGGACGACCAGCCACACUGGGACUGAGACACGGCCCAGACUCCUACGGGAGGCAGCAGUGGGGAAUUUUGACAAUGGGGAAACCCUGAUCCAGCCAUCCCGCGUGUGCGAUGAAGGCCUUUCGGGUUGUAAAGCACUUUUGGCAGGAAAGAAACGGCACGGGAUAAUACUCCGUGCAACUGACGGUACCUGCAGAAUAAGCACCGGCUAACUACAGCCAGCAGCCGGCGGUAAUACGGUGUGCAAGCGUUAAUCGGAAUUACUGGGCGUAAGCGCGCAGGCGGUUCGGAAAGAAAGAUGAAAUCCCAGAGCUUAAUCUCUCUUGAACUGCAUUUUUAACUACCGAGCUAGAGCGUGUCAGAGGGAGGUGGAAUUCCGCGUAGCAGUGAAAUGCGUAGAUAUGCGGAGGAACACCGAUGGCGAAGACAGCCUCCUGGGAUAACACUGACGCUCAUGCACGAAAGCGUGGGGAGCAAACAGGAUUAGAUACUCCUGGUAGUCCGCCGCCCCUAAAUCGAUGUCAACUAGCUGUUAAAUUCAUCGGUAGCGCAGCCAACGCGUGAAGCGACCGCCUGGGGAGUACGGUCGUGACAAAUCAAAGGAAUUGACGGGGACCCGCACAAGCGGUGGAUGAUGUGGAUUAAUUCGAUGCAACGCGAAAACCUUACCUACCCUUGACAUGUCUGGAAUCCCGGCGAGAUUUGGGGGAGUGCUCGCAAGAGAACUGAAGACAGGUGCUGCAUGGCUGUCGUCAGCUCGUGUCGUGAGAUGUUGGGUUAAGUCCCGCAACGAGCGCAACCCUUGUCAUUAGUUGCUACGAAAGGGCACUCCCAUCGAGACGCUGGUGACAAACCGGAGGGAAGGUGGGGAUGACGUCAAGUCCUCAUGGCCCUUUAUGGGUAGGCUUCACACGUCAUACAAUGGUCGGGACAGAGGGUCGCCAACCCGCGAGGGGGAGCCAAUCCCAGAAACCCGAUCGUAGUCCGGAUCGCAGUCUGCAACUCGACUGCGUGAAGCCCGGAAUCGCCAGUGCAUCGCGGAUCAGCAUGUCGCGGUGAAUACGUUCCCGGGUCUUGCACACACCGCCUGUCACACCAUGGGAGUGGGUUUUACCAGAAGUAGUUAGCCUAACCGUAAGGAGGGCGAUUACCACGGUAGGAUUCAUGACUGGGGUGAAGUCGUAACAAGGUAA